GAGGAAGGUGGAUAUGUUAAUAGCAUAUUCAUUUUGACGUUAGCUGCAGAAGAAGCACCGGCUAACUCCGUGCCAGCAGCCGCGGUAAUACGGAGGGUGCGAGCGUUAAUCGGAAUUACUGGGCGUAAAGCGCAUGCAGGUGGUUUGUUAAGUCAGAUGUGAAAGCCCGGGGCUCAACCUCGGAAUUGCAUUUUGAAACUGGCAAACUAGAGUACUGUAGAGGGGGUAGGAAUUUCAGGUGUAGCGGUGAAAUGCGUAGAGAUCUGAAGGAAUACCGGUGGCGAAGGCGGCCCCCCUGGACAGAUACUGACACUCAGAUGCGAAAGCGUGGGGAGCAAACAGGAUUAGAUAGCCCCGGUAG
rnacentral:rRNA from 1 species